AAUAAAUAAGGACGGAACAGGCGGCUGUCGCCAGAAAACUAUAUGGUUUGAUUAGGAGAUGUUGGAUCGCCACCCAGCUAUUUAUU
rnacentral:ncRNA from 12 species